rnacentral:tRNA from 1 species
GAUAAGAUGGUCGAGAAUAUUAGGCGAUAGACUGUAAAUCUAUUUAGGAGGUGAUAACCUCUCUUAUCA